GAUGAAGAACGUAGCGAAAUGCGAUACGUAAUGUGAAUUGCAGAAUUCAGUGAAUCAUCGAAUCUUUGAACGCAUAUUGCGCUCUCUGGUAUUCCGGAGAGCAUACUUGUUUGAGUAUCAGUAAACACCUCAACUUCCAUAUCUUUUUUGAAAUGGGAGUUGGACUUGAGUGAUCCCAACGCUUUUCCUCACCGAAAAGUGGCGGGUUACUUGAAAUGCAGGUGCAGCUGGACUUUUCUCUGAGCUAUAAGCAUAUCUAUUUAGUCUGCCUAAAAAACAGAUUAUUACCUUUGCUGCAGCUAACAUAAAGGAGAUUAGUUCUUGUGCUGACUGAUGCAGGAUUCACAAAGACAGGCUUCGGCCGACUUUGUAAACUCGAUCUCAAAUCAAGUAAGACUACCCGCUGAACUUAAGCAUAUCAAUAAGCGGAGGA
rnacentral:misc_RNA from 1 species